rnacentral:antisense_RNA from 1 species
AAAUGCGAAAGCGACUGCCUUCUUGGUCCAAGCACAAAUGUGGAUCACUGAACACAGUACUGGAAGCGCCAUUUGCAGAUAAGGAUGCUACAUUAAAGGAAUCGUGUGCAGCAUGAAAAGAUUAGAAUCAAGCUGCACCUAAGAAAAAAAUCCCAAAGUUACUUUCAAAAGUAUGUGUUAUCUGCCAGUCACAGAGGGGAAAAGCACCUAGGGUGAACUCCAAUUUUUUAAUGAGGACCUUGAUCAGGACCACAAAGCCUGAAACAUUUAUUUUAAUGCAGAAACACAGCCCCUAGUUACACUGAUUGCAUUUGGGAAAAUUGGAGGGUUUUUUCUUCCUUAGUUUUUUUUUAUUAAAUUACAGGAUAUGGUUUUCGAUUACUAAGUAUUCGAAAUCCUCAUACCAGCAACAGAAAUGAACCACUUCCAAAUUCUAAGACACAAAAGACCAAAGAGAAGCAAAAGCGAUACAAAUUAAUAUGUGCCCCUCUCCUUUCUGCUCUAAGGGAAUCUACAAACCAGUAUCACAUUUAGGAGUCAAAGUGUUAAUUCUUCAGCAUUCCUGACAACUAGAAA